AACGAACGCUGGCGGCACGCUUAACACAUGCAAGUCGAACGAAGUAGCAAUACUUAGUGGCGGACGGGUGAGUAACGCGUAGGAACCUGCCUAUGGGUGGGGGAUAACUUUGGGAAACUAAAGCUAAUACCCCAUAAGUCGGAGACGAGAAAGGCGAAAGCCGCCGAUAGAUGGGCCUGCGUAAGAUUAGGUAGUUGGUGGGGUAAUGGCCUACCAAGCCGAUGAUCUUUAGCUGGUUUGAGAGGAUGAUCAGCCACACUGGGACUGAGACACGGCCCAGACUCCUACGGGAGGCAGCAGUGGGGAAUAUUGGACAAUGGGGGAAACCCUGAUCCAGCGAUGCCGCGUGAGUGAAGAAGGCCUUCGGGUUGUAAAACUCUUUUGGUAGGGAAGAUAAUGACGGUACCUACAGAAUAAGCUCCGGCUAACUUCGUGCCAGCCGCCGCAGUAAUAC
rnacentral:rRNA from 1 species